rnacentral:rRNA from 1 species
GACGGGGGGGGCAAGUGUUGUUCGGAUUUACUGGGCGUAAAGCGCACGUAGGCGGAUUGUUAAGUCAGGGGUGAAAUCCUGGAGCUCAACUCCAGAACUGCCUUUGAUACUGGCAAUCUCGAGUCCGGAAGAGGUAAGUGGAACUCCUAGCGUAGAGGUGGAAUUCGUAGAUAUUAGGAAGAACACCAGUGGCGAAGGCGGCUUACUGGUCCGGUACUGACGCUGAGGUGCGAAAGCGUGGGGAGCAAACAGG